GCUCAAGUUUUCUGUUUUCUUGUCUUAUUUCUUGUUUGAUAAAUAUGUUGCAUCUUCAAAGUGAUUGGCAGGUGUGUAAAUCAAAUGAUACAAACCCCCUGAAAAACCCCUGAAAAUCAAUUUUCAUUCCAGGUUGAAUGGCAACAAAAUAGGAAAAAUGCCAAGGGGGGUGAAUACUUUCGCAAGCCACUGUACACACUAUAGUUCAUGAAGCCUACAGGUUUCAGACUGCUAUGGACGUAAACACUAUAAUCCAUGUUCCCUACAGGUUUCAGACUGCUAUGGACGUAAACACUAUAAUCCAUGUUCCCUACAGGUUUCAGACUGCUAUGGAUGUAAACACUAUAAUCCAUGUUCCCUACAGGUUUCAGACCUGAACACUAUAGUCCAUUUAGCCUUCAGGUUUCAGACUGCUUUGUACCUAAACACUGUACCCAGCUGACAACGAACAUUCCCACAACUUUAGAAAAUGAGUCUCAUUAGGUCAUUAAAUAAUGUUUUUCAUACGAAUGUCCCUGUGAUGUGUAAGGAAUGUUUUCAAAAGACAAUUCAUUUGAAUGUCCAAUAGAACGUGUUUACCAUGUUCUCAGAACUUAAUAUUUCCCCAAUUGUUUUAUUUAUUACACAUCAAGGCCCUGCUUGGUGAACCACUGAUCCACUCAUAGCUAUUUGUCUGUUGUCAAGGAGAUUCACACACACACAGUGCUUUUAACAUACUGUUUUCAACAAACAUAUGACACAUUCUGACAAACGUGAUUACAUAGUGCAUGUUCAUUUUUUACAUUAUUAUUCUCACCUGGGAUUUGAACUCACAACCUCUUGGUUCAUCGUACUCUGAUCUUCCUGCCUCGCCUCCAUGUUGGGUCUCAGUUAAUCUGACUAUUCUCUCAUAAUUUAUUACUUAUUUCAGCAAUUUAAUGGCUUUCUGUAUAAUUGUCUAACUUUGGGUCAUUUUAACCUGUAUUAAAUGAUACUCCUGAAA